rnacentral:rRNA from 1 species
UCCUACGGGAGGCAGCAGUAGGGAAUCUUCCACAAUGGACGCAAGUCUGAUGGAGCAACGCCGCGUGAGUGAAGAAGGGUUUCGGCUCGUAAAACACUGUUGUAAGAGAAGAAUGACGGUGAGAGUAACUGUUCAAUGUGUGACGGUAUUUUACCAGAAAGGCACGGCUAAAUACGUGCCAGCAGCCGCGGUAAU